GAUGAACGCUGGCGGCGUGCAUAAUACAUGCAAGUCGAGCGAACAGAUAAGGAGCUUGCUCCUUUGACGUUAGCGGCGGACGGGUGAGUAACACGUGGGUAACCUACCUAUAAGACUGGAAUAACUCCGGGAAACCGGGGCUAAUGCCGGAUAACAUUUAGAACCGCAUGGUUCUAAAGUGAAAGAUGGUUUUGCUAUCACUUAUAGAUGGACCCGCGCCGUAUUAGCUAGUUGGUAAGGUAACGGCUUACCAAGGCAACGAUACGUAGCCGACCUGAGAGGGUGAUCGGCCACACUGGAACUGAGACACGGUCCAGACUCCUACGGGAGGCAGCAGUAGGGAAUCUUCCGCAAUGGGCGAAAGCCUGACGGAGCAACGCCGCGUGAGUGAUGAAGGUCUUCGGAUCGUAAAACUCUGUUAUUAGGGAAGAACAAAUGUGUAAGUAACUGUGCACGUCUUGACGGUACCUAAUCAGAAAGCCACGGCUAACUACGUG
rnacentral:rRNA from 1 species